UGUUGAUAUUUAUGAAGAAAACGAUUCCUGGAAAUACGAAUGUCAAGCAACUUGAAAAUUUUGACCACUGACGCUGUCAGGAAUAACGUUUACAACGCGUGUCACUUACACAAUUUAAUAUUGUUGGUGAGCAGUAAAAGGGGAUAAAGUGGAUUUACGCUUGCGUGUGACUGUAGCAAUGUGAACGGGUUAUCGUACAGCAAAACCCAUCACGUAAAGAAGAGUCUUCAACUUUUCGAGAAAAACAUGCAUUGUUUUGCUAUCAACACAAGCUUGGAACAGGAAGCAAUGGUCAACAACAUUGGUGGACCAGGAAGCGUUAAUUACUUUUUGUCAACACUGAAUGUUCCAAUGAUAAGUUGAACUUAAAGAAAAUGGAAAUAAAUGCAGGUAGGACCAUUCAUAAAGUGUCAACUAUCUCCUUUGUAGCAGACAGGCUUAUAAGAUGCUUAAUGAAUGAAAUGCUGAUUACCUGUGCAAGAGGAAAAUGAAACCAGACAGAUUAUGGACUCAAAUUCAACCCAGAAAAAAGCUAGGAAUUUGCAGUCACUGAGAGUUCUUGUUUACAGCAUGUGUGCAAUGCUGCAACAACAUAAAUAUUAUAGCUGGCUCUAGACUCAACCUUAUGCAUCUUACAAUGAUCUUUGAAUGCAACGGUCUCAAGAACAUUUUCAUAAUGAAUAAAUCUGACGGUCAGCCCAGGGUCAUCAAUAUCAAGCGUCUUUUGGAGACACUUAUUCCAUCCUGUAAAAGUUCUUAAAAAAACUACCAUGAAAAUCAUGUACAUGUAUUUGUUUUGUUUGUCAUAAUAAGUGUAAAGUUAUCACUAGUAUCACUUCUCAUUUAUAAAUUGAUAAAUCUAUUUUCCUUUUUAAACGUGUAUGAUUGAAUGAUAAAAUGUGCCUUGUUACUUAAUUUUUAAUGUUCUUAUUUCCUUGUAUAACUUUCAAGUCUUAUUGAUUGAAGAACGAAUUUCGCGUGCUAUUUCAAACUAUGUUAGCAAAUCUUACUGCACUGAUUAGAUUACAUGUCACACAUGAUAUAUGGGAUGAAUGUAUGUUAAAAUGUUUAUGAGUUUAUUAUAGGCUUUUCAUUUAUAAUAAUUUUUAACAUUUAGCUCAUCUUUAUGCUCACAUAUAAAAAUCUCUAAUUCAGUAUGGCGUUUCUGGAAACAGGGGAUACCCUUGAUUAUAAAGCAGGAACUUUUCGUUUUCACUGGUAACUCCCAUUUGUUUCUUUCUUCGUCAUUCAGGCAUAUAUCCAUCCUCUUCAAAAGCAUCGUCACACCAUAGUCCAAAUAAUUAGACGUAAGCUACCCCGCUUACGUCUAAACGGCUACCGUCGUUUUCCUAUAGCAAAUUGAGUUCAACUUAAACUUCAGUUUUUCUCGUUAAAUCUUUGCUAAUGCAUAAAAUUAUCAUUAAUUAGACAUAAAUGUGAGCGAUUACCUCUUAAAUGUGUAAAAAUUGUGCUUUUAAACCACUUAUGUACAUUUUUAAAAAUAAACAUACACAACACA